UUAAGGGAGACCUUACCCAUUCAUACAUCGAGCAUUGUAAUAGAUGAUGAUUGUGGUCAUCCCAAGGUCGUGCGUAGGCUAGGUAUUGAAAGGCUUUCAAACAAUUAUAGGUUCGGUUCGAUAGAACUAAUAACCUAUGGGCUAUUAGCUCAGGUGGUUAGAGCGCACCCCUGAUAAGGGUGAGGUCCCUGGUUCGAGUCCAGGAUGGCCCACCUGAAGAUAGUUAGGAGUUAAGAGUUAAGAGUUAGGAAUAAAUAAUUCAUAACUUGCAACUAAUAACUCAUAACUUAUAACCUUGAUUUGGGGGUAUAGCUCAGUUGGUAGAGCGCUGCCUUUGCAAGGCAGAUGUCAGCGGUUCGAGUCCGCUUACCUCCACCAAAUUUUCUAUAGGAAAUAUUUCAGCACCCAGACUAUAUAGGAAAGAGUCGGAAUGCUGGAUUGUUAUCCAGUCAGAACCUUGAAAACUGCAUAUUCACGCGAAAUGAUUUAGGUAGUCUUUAAUCACCUUGCGUAUUUAAAGAAAGUAUCUAGAUAUCCUAUUUUGUAUAAAAGCCAAUGAUUAAGUUGGAAAAUCUUUGU
rnacentral:tRNA from 1 species